rnacentral:rRNA from 1 species
GAUGAACGCUGGCGGCGUGCUUAACACAUGCAAGUCGAACGAAGCACCGGAGUUGAUUUCCGUCGGGACUGAUGAUUUGGUGACUGAGUGGCGGACGGGUGAGUAACGCGGGGGUAACCUGCCUUGUACAGGGGGAUAACAGUGGGAAACGGCUGCGAAUACCGCAUAAGCGCACAGCAUCGCAUGAUGCAGUGUGAAAAACUCCGGUGGUCUAAGAGGGACCCGCGUUGGCUUAGCUAGUUGGGGAGGUAAGGGCCCACCAAGGCGACGAGACAUAGCCGAGCUGAUAGGGUGACCCGCCACAUUGGGACUGGGACACGGCCCGAACUCCUACGGGAGGCAGCAGUGGGGAAUCUUGCCCAAUGGGCGAAGGCCUGAUGCAGCGACGCCGCGUGAGCGCAGAAGUAUUUCGGUAUGUACCGCUCUAUCAGCAGGGCAGAUAAUGACGUUACCUGACUAAGAAGCACCGGCUAACUACGUG